rnacentral:tRNA from 1 species
GGCAAAGUAGUUUAAUUAAAAAUACCUAUUUUACACGUAGGCGAUGAUGUGUAUUCUAUUGCUA